AGUGAACGCUGGCGGUAGGCCUAACACAUGCAAGUCGAACGGCAGCACAGUAAGAGCUUGCUCUUACGGGUGGCGAGUGGCGGACGGGUGAGGAAUACAUCGGAAUCUACUUUUUCGUGGGGGAUAACGUAGGGAAACUUACGCUAAUACCGCAUACGAUCUACGGGUGAAAGCAGGGGAUCUUCGGACCUUGCGCGAUUGAAUGAGCCGAUGUCGGAUUAGCUAGUUGGCGGGGUAAAGGCCCACCAAGGCGACGAUCCGUAGCUGGUCUGAGAGGAUGAUCAGCCACACUGGAACUGAGACACGGUCCAGACUCCUACGGGAGGCAGCAGUGGGGAAUAUUGGACAAUGGGCGCAAGCCUGAUCCAGCCAUACCGCGUGAGUGAAGAAGGCCUUCGGGUUGUAAAGCCCUGUUGUUGGGAAAGAAAAGCAGCAGGUUAAUACCCCGCUGUUCUGACGGUACCCAAAGAAUAAGCACCGGCUAACUUCGUG
rnacentral:rRNA from 1 species